UGGCCGCACAAGUCCAUCGGGAAAUCCACCCGCUCAACGGGUGGCCGUCCGGUGGAAACUGCACGGCUUGGGACCGGAAGGCGCGACGGGUACGUCCGGGGUAGGAGUGAAAUCCCGUAAUCCUGGACGGACCGCCGAUGGCGAAAGCACGUCGCGAGAACGGAUCCGACCAUCGUGAGGGACGAAAGCCAGGCUCUCGAACC
rnacentral:rRNA from 1 species